AUAAUUACCACCGAGCGGCGG
rnacentral:snRNA from 1 species